rnacentral:rRNA from 1 species
CAGCCCUAUGUGGGCCGUUAUGAUAAACCAUGCUUGUGAUUCGCGAUGAUCCGAGAGCGUGAUUGCAGAGUUCAAGUGCUGGCUCAUAAAGAGAAUCCACAAAGACAUUGUUUCCUAGAGAUAGCAAGGCAAUGGCCAUGA